rnacentral:lncRNA from 1 species
CUUCAGCUUUUAAGUCACUUUGACAACUCGCAUACACAGGACAGGUGAUUUUCUUAUCUAACAAUGAGAUCUGUUACGCAACACUUGGGUUCAGAACACUGGACACUCAUCCCUCCGCCCUUUGAAUAGCAUUUCUGGAGCUGAAGGCAUGGACGCUUGAAGACCAGGCCAAAGACGAAGAAAUAUCCUUUCUUCCAACAAUACUACGUGUUUUUUUUCUCCUUCCUCUGGAUCCUACUAGUUCCUUUCCUUUCCCUCCCCUUCUCCAGCUACAACCCACUUACUAAAGCUAUCUGUUUUACUUGGCAUUCAUUUCCUUAUCACCCAUAAAGGAGGACAGGCAUUACAGACUUUUGCCUUCUGUCAGAAGAGGGACUGGAGCAGAGUUCAACCAAAACAGUCAUAGAACACUCACAAUGGAUAAGAAGUGGAACUUUGGCACCAGAACAACAGCAUCCAGAAAAAAAAGAAGCACGGUAAGACAUGCC